CCAUCAGUGCUGAUUGCAGGGCGGUGCCACCCACCUUUAUAUCUAGGUGAGGCAAUACUGCUCUGGUUCUUCUUCCUAACCUCCAGAGUCUGGCGUCUGUGCAGUCUGGUGUGGCUGGUCUGCCUUCCGAGGCUUUUUGGUGUGUCAGUCCUGCUGUGAGCAUAAGUGUGGCUGUCUCUCCCUCCCUUGGCUUCUUGAGUGCAGACCGGAGUUACGGUUUACUGCUUCGCCAACUCGGUGUUGAGCAGUCGGCUGAGUGCGCAGCGGCCAUACGUCCUCCCCUCCUCUCUGCUCCGCUGUUGGAAACUGCCCUCUGCCCGGUGGCCCUUAAAGGCCAGGCUGUGCGCUACAGUGUAGUGCCUCCUGUUUUUCACAAGCCAUCAGCCUCCACCACCUGGCGCGGGCUGCUGUUCUGUCUCCAAUGACUUUUGGAUUUGGGGUUUGUGCAGAGUGGGUCCACUCCGAGUCAUUUAUAACUGAAUUGUUCUGAUUGUACCAGACUUUUCAGAACUUCCCGUUUUACAAUAUUACCUGGUGUCUUUUUAUUCUCAUCUCAUUGACAAGGGGACUAUAUUUGGUAGCCACGUUCUAGUGGCCCUGUGCUGUUUUGUUUAUUUGAUUUAAUUUACAGUAAGCAGUAUUAUUUGUUUUCUUUUGAAUCUUUAUUUCUUUCUCCUGUUUUGUUUUGAGGUUUGUUUUCUGGGGGUUGGUUGACUUAAAAGCUACACACAUGCAUGUCUUCCAACUCCUGGGUAAUUUAUAUUACUCUGUUUAUUGAUUCAAUUAGACAAUUGUUAUUAGCCUACUUUCUUUUGUAAUAUCUGUUAUCAUUGUUUGGUUUCUGGGGUAUAUUGUUUGGGUAAAUUGGGGUGUGUGUGUGUGUCUUGUGUGAGUGUGUUUUAUGGAGUGUGUGUGAGACCGUUGACUUGAACUAACUGACUAACUGUGUGUUUCUCAGGAGAAAGGGGUUCGAGCCGGUGGCAGGCAGACCUCUUGGUGGUGGUGUCCCUCACUCUCUCACUCACUCACCCCUUUUUGCCGUGCUUUGUUAUUUUGUCUUCACGUGUGGUGGGUUGUGUUCUUUUUUUUGGACCCGUCCCUGCUCCUUUGUUGGUCUGUCCUCCGCAGGAAGCCCCCGGCCUAGCUCCUUAGGCCCUCCAACACACACAGUAAAUUUCUGGUCAUUGCUCUUUUAUUAUUGAGAAUGUGUCAUUUUAAAAAGAUAAUGUUAAAAAUAAAGUUUUGUAGCUUUUGGUA